GCCCUACAUCUCCCGGUUAUAGUCCCACUUCUCCGACCUACAGUCCUAGCUCUCCUGGAUAUAGUCCUACAAGUCCUGCUUACUCUCCGACAAGUCCAUCAUAUUCGCCAACUUCUCCCAGCUACAGCCCGACCUCUCCCAGUUAUAGCCCUACAUCUCCUACUUAUAGUCCUACUUCCCCCAGUUACAGCCCAACUUCCCCCAGUUACAGUCCUACUUCGCCAAGCUACAGCCCUACUUCUCCAGUUUACAGUCCGACUUCCCCAGCCUACAGUCCAACAUCUCCUGCCUACAGCCCAACCUCACCAUCCUAUAGUCCAACAUCACCUUCCUAUAGUCCGACAUCACCUUCAUAUAGCCCAACAUCACCUUCAUAUAGCCCGACUUCACCAUCAUACAGUCCUACCUCACCUGCCUAUAGCCCAACUUCUCCGGGAUACAGUCCAACAUCUCCUAGCUAUAGUCCUACAUCCCCAAGUUAUAGCCCCACAUCUCCAAGUUACAAUCCUGCCUCAGCAAAGUACAGUCCUUCGCUUGCUUAUUCUCCAAGCAGUCCAAGG
rnacentral:lncRNA from 1 species